rnacentral:lncRNA from 1 species
GUCAUUCCAAUACUUUCAUUUUACCGAAUACAAAACCAAAUAGGUUCACAUAUCAUAUUUCUCAUCAAGGGACAUCGAGGGACAAGUUCAACCUUUAUCAAACUUCAAACCAUAUAGGCUAAAAUCUCAUUUUCGCAUCAUGUUUCACAUCAAGGGACAAGUUCAAACUUCCCAUUUACCAAACUUGUAGGCAUAUAGACCAAAAUCACGUUUUUGCGACAAGGGUCAUUCCAAUACUUUCAUUUUACCGAAUACAAAACCAAAUAGGUUCACAUAUCAUAUUUCGCAUCAAGGGACAUCGAGGGACAAGUUCAACCUUUAUCAAACUUCAAACCAUAUAGGCUAAAAUCUCAUUUUCGCAUCGUGUUUCACAUCUAGGAACAAGUUCAAACUUCCCAUUUACCAAACUUGUAGGCAUAUAGACCAAAAUCUCAUUUUUGCGACAAGGGUCAUUCCAAUACUUUCAUUUUACCGAAUAUAAAACCAAAUAGGUUCACAUAUCAUAUUUCGCAUCAAGGGACAUCGAGGGACAAGUUCAACCUUUAUCAAACUUCAAACCAUAUAGGCUAAAAUCUCAUUUGCGCAUCAUGUUUCACAUCAAGGGACAAGUUCAAACUUCC